GCCUGGCUGGCUCAGUUGGAAGAGCAUGCCACUGUUGAUCUCAGGUUUGUGAGUUCGAGCCCCACGUUGGGUG
rnacentral:tRNA from 1 species